AGUCAUCAACCCCAUUCGUUUUGCACGGGUGUCUGGUUGGAUCUGGGGCGAAUGCUGCCGCGAGGCUGCUCCCCCGAAAUGUGUCGGCUGGACCAGUGGGUUCAAACUCGGCGGGCGUUGUACCAUCCUCGCUUGACCCGGGACUCCCGUUGUGUCCUCCCUAGACUGGCCUGUAGAGUGGCCGGUCAAGCCAAACUUUGAAAU
rnacentral:misc_RNA from 1 species